rnacentral:rRNA from 1 species
ACGUAGGGGACGAGCGUUAUCCGGAUUUACUGGGCGUAAAGCGCAUGUAGGUGGCCUUUCAAGUUGGACGUGAAAGCUCCUGGCUUAACUGGGAGAGGUCGUUGGAAACUGGGAGACUUGAGGCAAUGAGAGGGGUGUGGAAUUCCCGGUGUAGUGGUGGAAUGCGUAGAGAUCGGGAGGAACACCAGUGGCGAAAGCGGCACCCUGGCAUUGGCCUGACGCUGAGGUGCGAAAGCGUGGGGAGCAAACGG